UGCGUAGGCGGCUUAGUGGGUCUGGUGUGAAAGCCCCGGGCUCAGCCCGGGAAGGGCACUAGAAACUGCUAAGCUCGAGUGCCGGAGGGGAGAGUGGAAUUCCUGGUGUAGCGGUGAAAUGCGUAGAUAUCAGGAGGAAUACCGGUGGCGAAAGCGACUCUCUGGACGGCAACUGACGCUGAGGCACGAAAGCGUGGGGAGCAAACA
rnacentral:rRNA from 1 species